GGCUNUGAGGGCAAUCUGGCUGCAACAUUUGUUACCACAUUGAUCCCAGGGUUGAUUCAGUUGAUCAAGUUGGCUAUGCAGGUGUCCCUUUCCUCUCUCCAUGUACAUCCCUCUUAAAGCUGUUUGUUCAGUAGAAGAGGACCACCUUCCUUUCCUGAUAGGAGGCCUGGUCUUAGAUCAAGGGUAUGUAUAGCUUCACUCCCCUUCUGGAACCUCCACACAANCCUCCAAUUUGUCCAAUUAACUUCUCUCAUUGUGGGUCCUCAUUCACCAAACAUGAUUCUGAUUAUAAAUCAGCAUUCCAUAAAAGUCCCUCUGUGUGGAG
rnacentral:snRNA from 1 species